rnacentral:rRNA from 1 species
UCCUACGGGAGGCAGCAGUGGGGAAUAUUGGACAAUGGGCGCAAGCCUGAUCCAGCCAUGCCGCGUGAGUGAUGAAGGCCCUAGGGUUGUAAAGCUCUUUCAACGGUGAAGAUAAUGACGGUAACCGUAGAAGAAGCCCCGGCUAACUUCGUGCCAGCAGCCGCGGUAAUACGAAGGGGGCUAGCGUUGUUCGGAUUUACUGGGCGUAAAGCGCACGUAGGCGGAUUGUUAAGUUAGGGGUGAAAUCCCAGGGCUCAACCCUGGAACUGCCUUUAAUACUGGCAAUCUCGAGUCCGGAAGAGGUGAGUGGAAUUCCGAGUGUAGAGGUGAAAUUCGUAGAUAUUCGGAGGAACACCAGUGGCGAAGGCGGCUCACUGGUCCGGUACUGACGCUGAGGUGCGAAAGCGUGGGGAGCAAACAGG